rnacentral:sRNA from 1 species
GGAACUUGGUUAUAGAUGAUUGUGAGCUGCCAGGUUCAGCUCUACUUGGAACGAGGGCAACUCUCCAUCUUGACUGUCUAUGUACCUGGUUCUUUAAAGGCAGCUUCCUCCCCUUCGUUCUGAUUCUGGCCCUGGGUAGGUGGAGGCCAUACCUCCUUGUACCCAGGAAGUAAGCUGUACUCAGUUCCUAAUCUGGGUAAACCAUUAAGCUUGGUUGUCUUCUGAAUGGGACCGGAAAUGGGGCCACUGUCACCUUCUUCUGCUUCAGAAGCUGUUUUUACAUCCAGAAGAGAGCGUCACAAACUGCGUAACUUACAAAUGGAAGAACCGUUCUGCAAAGUGCUAGAAGGUUCAACACCUGGCAAGGAACCAGCGUGAACCUGUGUUAGGGUCUCACUACGAUAACCGGGAUGGGCUGGAAACGCUCUCUGUAAAACGGUCUCGGCUCAAGCUCAAAGAUAUAUGUCUCCCAAGUGCUUGCAUUAGUGGCGCAUGACACUACCUACUGUGCUUCAUUUAGGAGAGCCUCACAUAGCUUACUCUGGCCUUGAGCUCGUUAUGCAGUAAAAGAUGAUCUUAAACUCCCCAUCUUCCUUACAAGAGCGCACCUAUCAUGGCCUCUUUCUGUGACACUGGUGAUCAGACCCAGGUUUGCACACAUCCUAGGCGAGCACUCCCCUAACUAAGCCAUGUUCCCAACAUACACCAACAAGCUGUGUGCUAUCAUACAGUGGUGGAACUGGCCAAGCUGUGCGGUGCUAUUCUUUUGUUGCUGUUGUUGUUUUGAGGCAGGGUUCCUGGAAUUCAAUAUGUGUACCAGGUUGGUCUCAAACUCACAGAAAACCACCCGCCUCUGCCUCGCAAAGAUGUGAGCCACCAUGCCUAGCAAGAGGACCUUAUUCUCUUCUCAAGAGACAAAAGAAUCUGCAAUUCCCUCUUAGAGAAGCCCACACCCAUGCUCUCGGGUAUUUUGUCCUUCCUUCUGAGUCUCUUAAUUCUAGUGAUUAAACCUAGUCUAGUGAUUAAAUUGAAAUACCCAAUUGAGGGGUUGAUGAGAUGGAUCAGUGGUCAAGAGCACUGGCUGCUCUUCCAAAAAACGAACAA